rnacentral:rRNA from 1 species
UACGGGAGGCAGCAGUGGGGAAUAUUGGACAAUGGGGGCAACCCUGAUCCAGCCAUGCCGCGUGUGUGAAGAAGGCCCUCGGGUUGUAAAGCACUUUCAGCGAGGAAGAACGCCUAGCGGUUAAUACCCGCUAGGAAAGACAUCACUCGCAGAAGAAGCACCGGCUAACUCCGUGCCAGCAGCCGCGGUAAUACGGAGGGUGCAAGCGUUAAUCGGAAUUACUGGGCGUAAAGCGCGCGUAGGUGGCUUGAUAAGCCGGUUGUGAAAGCCCCGGGCUCAACCUGGGAACGGCAUCCGGAACUGUCAGGCUAGAGUGCAGGAGAGGAAGGUAGAAUUCCCGGUGUAGCGGUGAAAUGCGUAGAGAUCGGGAGGAAUACCAGUGGCGAAGGCGGCCUUCUGGACUGACACUGACACUGAGGUGCGAAAGGCGUGGGUAGCAAAACAGGAUUAGAUACCCUGGUAGUCCACGCCGUAAAACGAUGUCGACCAGCCGUUGGGUGCCUAGCGCACUUUGUGGCGAAGUUAACGCGAUAAGUCGACCGCCUGGGGAGUACGGCCGCAAGGUUAAAACUCAAAUGAAUUG